UUGGCGUUUCUCCGAGGACAAGCCUCUCUCUAGAUAUGGAGAAGGAGGGCUAGUUGUCUCUCCUGCAAUGUCCUGCUAUCACUCAUCGCAAUGAAAUAUGAAUCAGUGGCGCAUUACAACAGUCAGUUAUGUAACCACGUCAUGCCGGCUGUUGUCAUACGGGAAUGAAAACCGUAUAGAAGAAAGGACAGCGUGUUUCUCUACUUUGAAGACAAUGCAGUGGUAAUUGUCAACAAUAAAGGAGAAAUAAAAGGUUCGGGUAUCACGGGUCCAGUAGCGAAGGAAUGUGCUGAACUGUGGCUGCGUAUUGAGUCGAAUGCGUCUAGCAUUGCCUAAGUUGUUAUCUCAAAUGUACGGGACUGUGAUAGAUGUGGAUAAUCAACACAAUGAGCCAUCGCAACGCACUUGAAGAAUACUUCAUCUGGCUUUCUACAUCUCAGUGCUAGAGUAGUCAAGUCACAUUACAGUGUUGGCAGAUUGUGGCAUGUUCUUCUGCGUUGUGUGUCAGAUGUGGAGGAUCUUCUCCAGUCUGUUCCUGGUGUUCUUUUUGGUCGAUCCAUCUGCUUAUCUCCAAGUGUAAAGGAAGGGUGUGGUCAUUGCAAGAAUGCCAAACGCGAGUUUGAAUCUGCUGCUGAAACAUUGUCUGGCCACGACAAGCAAGCAUUAGCAGCAAUCGAUUGCACAGAAUUUUCUGAUGUUUGUACGCAGCAUGGAGUGAAAGGUUAUCCUACAUUUAAGUAUUUUCACAAUGGAAAGGAAAGUGAGAAAUAUGAAGGUGGACGUACUGCGCACAAUUUCUCCAAUUUUGUUUUGAGCAAAUGUGUGUCAGACAAGAAGGAUGAAUUGUAGUUUAUGUGUACGUACUGCUUGCUCAAUAACUUUUCUUGCUAUUCA